AGACUAAUGGACAUGCAAAUAGGAUUUUACAAGACUUGAACAGAAUCUAAUCUUUAAAAUGUGAUAAUGCUAGCUUUGGUGAUAUUUCGUAUCCUCAAUUUUAUUGCUGCAAGUUUCUUUAUUUUGUCAGCAUUUGUACAAUACAAUGACCCAGAUCCUGAGCUAUGGAUUCCGGUAUAUCUGGCUCCUGCUAUCAUUUCUGGAUUAAUUGGUUUUAGGCCUUCACUAUCUGAAUCAAAAUUCAUAAAAGUAUUUGACUUUGGAUAUAUUUUCUUUGGAACUAUUUUAACUGCCCAUUUGUUCCAUCAAAACUAUCAGGAUAAUUUCAUCCAAUGGGUGGUGCAUGAUGAAGUGGGGAGGGAGUUUGGCGGACUUGUGAUCGUUAUAUUUUGGAAUAUUUUUAUGCACGAAACAUCACAUUUAUCUGUGAAGAAUUGGUUAUCGUCGGUUUUUAUUUGAAUUCUGAUUGCAAAGUGGAUUUAUGUUUAUA